rnacentral:rRNA from 1 species
CAGUAGCCACGGUAAUACGGAGGGCGCGAGCGUUACCCGGAUUUACUGGGCGUAAAGGGCGUGUAGGCGGCCUGGGGCGUCCCAUGUGAAAGGCCACGGCUCAACCGUGGAGGAGCGUGGGAUACGCUCAGGCUAGAGGGUGGGAGAGGGUGGUGGAAUUCCCGGAGUAGCGGUGAAAUGCGCAGAUACCGGGAGGAACGCCGAUGGCGAAGGCAGCCACCUGGUCCACUUCUGACGCUGAGGCGCGAAAGCGUGGGGAGCAAACCGGAUUAGAUACCAGCGUAGUCCCUGUCUCUUAUAC